UCCGGUGGCAAUAGCGGAGGUUAAAAACCCGUUCCCAUACCGAACACGGUCCCAAAUCGGGGUCCCCCGAAAAGUCGCAAGACUUUUUGGGGUGAUAGUGAAGCCCUCCAGCGCCGAUGGUACUGAUUACUCGGGAGAGUAGGUCGCUGCCGGUA
rfam:Thermoanaerobacterium saccharolyticum JW/SL-YS485, complete genome.